rnacentral:rRNA from 1 species
CAUGUCCUUUUGAUUAUAAUUUAAGGUCUAAUCUGCCCACUGAAAAUUUAAAUGGCCGCAGUAUUUUGACUGUGCUAAGGUAGCAUAAUCAUUAGUUUUUUAAUUGAAAGCUGGAAUGAACGAUUGGAUGAAAUAAAAACUGUCUCAAUUUUAUUAUUUUAGAAUUUUAUUUUUAAGUUAAAAAGCUUAAAUUUUAUUAAAAGACGAGAAGACCCUAUAGAGUUUUAUAUAAAUAAAUAAAUUUAAAUUAUUAAAUAAAAAAUUUUGUUUAUUUUUUUAUAUUUUGUUGGGGUGACAAAAAAAAUUAAUGAACUUUUUUUUUAUUAAAACAUUUAUAAAUGAUAAAUUGAUCCAUAUUACUUUAUGAUUAUAAGAUUUAAUUACCUUAGGGAUAACAGCGUAAUUUUUUUUAAGAGUUCUUAUCGAAAAAAAGAUUGCGACCUCGAUGUUGGAUUAAAGUUUAAUUUUGGUGUAGUAGCUAAAAAUUUAAGUCUGUUCGACUUUUAAAACUUUACAUGAUCUGAGU